rnacentral:rRNA from 1 species
UACGGAGGGGGCGAGCGUUAUUCGGAAUUAUUGGGCGUAAAGGGCGCGUAGGCGGCCGGAUAAGUCAAAGGUGAAAUCCCUCGGCUCAACUGAGGAACUGCCUUUGAAACUGUUUGGCUUGAGGCCGGGAGGGGGUAGCGGAAUUCCCAAUGUAGCGGUGAAAUGCGUAGAUAUUGGGAGGAACACCAGUGGCGAAGGCGGCUACCUGGACCGGUUCUGACGCUGAUGCGCGAAAGCGUGGGUAGCAAACAGG